rnacentral:rRNA from 1 species
UAGGGAAUCUUCCGCAAUGGGCGAAAGCCUGACGGAGCAACGCCGCGUGAGUGAUGAAGGUCUUCGGAUCGUAAAACUCUGUUAUUAGGGAAGAACAAAUGUGUAAGUAACUAUGCACGUCUUGACGGUACCUAAUCAGAAAGCCACGGCUAACUACGUGCCAGCAGCCGCGGUAAUACGUAGGUGGCAAGCGUUAUCCGGAUUUAUUGGGCGUAAAGCGCGCGUAGGCGGUUUUUUAAGUCUGAUGUGAAAGCCCACGGCUCAACCGUGGAGGGUCAUUGAAAACUGGAAAAAUUGAGUGCAGAAGAGGAAAGUGGAAUUCCAUGUGUAGCGGUGAAAUGCGCAGAGAUAUGGAGGAACACCAGUGGCGAAGGCGACUUUCUGGUCUGUAACUGACGCUGAUGUGCGAAAGCGUGGGGAUCAAACAGG